CCGAUUCCAAUCCGGGUCAGGCCCAUUUCCUUAUUAUUUAAGGGAGUUUUCAGCCUCCUCCUCCACAUUUCAGAUCAGAAAAGAUCCAAAAAAUUCCAUUAGAGAGAGAGAGAGAAAACUUCAAGGCUAAGAAGAUCAUUUUGAUCAAAAUCCGAGCUCCGAAUCCCGAAGCUCAUGAAGAGAAAAACGUUGUACGUUGCGUUGCCUUCAAUUUGAGAUAAAUAUUAGUCUUGGGGGAUGAAAUUUUCGUGGUGGAUCUUCUGAUAAGAUUUUGGACGAGAUUGGGAUCGACGCCAAGCGAGCGUAAGGCGCUAUCGAGGUACAGGCGCACUCGGUGACACGCCGCCAGUCUAGGGCACAGGUUCUGCUAUCUUGAAGAGCUCCUUUUGAUUCGGAGCAUGUACUUUGGUAUAUAUCUUUUGUUUUCCGUAUGUUCUGUAUGUAUGGAAGUUCUGGGUACGGCGGGGCCCUGUCCCGUCAUAUGAUUUUGUAUGUCUGUAGAGGCCUGUAGAUAGAUGUGUGGGUUACGGGUUUCGUCUGUAUGUUAGCCUUAUCGGCUUAUCUGUAAAUGUCUGCAUGUUCAGGUAUAUAUAUAUGUUUGCGCGCGUGCCGUAUCUGUAUCGGCCUACUUCUGUAAUAUCCGUUUGAAAAAAAAAAAAAUCUGUACGAUACGAAAUUCGGUCAGGUAGGUAUGUACGGGUACCCAGCUAGGGUGCCA